rnacentral:lncRNA from 1 species
AUUGGGAUAUUUUUAAAGUCCCCCAGCUGAUUCUAAUUUACAGCCAAGAUUGCUAACCACAGUGCUAGGAAAUGGCCUCAGGCAGAUCUUUCGCGUAAGUGUAGAAAAAGUUCUCCGGGUUCCUCUUAGGGGAGAGACCAUUUUUAUCUGCUGCUCACUGAGAAGCAGAGAGAAAGGAGGCUGCCUAGUUGCCAGGAGGAACAUUGACCUGCCACAGCCUCCUACAUCUGUCCUAGAAGUGAAGUCCAUUUUCUGCUAAAGACAAAAAGAGAAGUGAAUUCCGUAAUCUACAAACCAAUUUCCUUCACUCCCUACUGGUGUUGGUGGCUUUCCUCGCGGGAUAACCCUGACCAUCCUGAGCCUCUGGUCACCCUGCUUCCUUCAAGUCUGAGUUGCACUAGUCCACUGGCCAUUAAGCUUAAGCAAGUGGAUCACGUCUUUAAUGGAACCCAUUACAGUUAUGCAAUUUUCCCUGGAAUGUGACAGCUUAUUAGAGAGUGCUCCGAAAAAAAUACCUAUGGAAAGGAAGAGAAAGAAGUAAGAUUGGGCAGAAGGAAAAGUUGGGCUGAGAUGCAGUCUCAAUGAAUGCCACAGCUGGCCUAGGGGGAGCUCUUGGUAUGGAUUGGCCUUGCAGAGGUUGUCCUGAGUUGAGGUCCUCUCACUCUAUCCUUCCUAACAACUUCAUAAUGAAGAUUAAUGGGACGUGGCUGGAUAUUCCAUGUCUUGCUGCAAGGGUGUUUACUGAAUUCUAUACUGGAUACUGACUCUGGGAAGCUCUCAAAGAAGCAAUGAAUUACAGAUAGAUUCUGGUUCUGCUGCUUCCUUCUGCCAAGGAUUCUAUCCAGGGCUCUACAUUACACGUCGUUAUGUUUUUUUAGGCUCCUCUUGGAGAUGGCAGUUUCUCAGACAUUGUUGUUUUUGAUAAGCUUGAUAGUUUUGAAGAGUCUCGGUCAGUUGGUUCCAGAUCUCGCCAUUGGAGCUCUUUCCAUUGGCUCCUGUGUCCUUCAGCAUAUCUCCAUCUGUUUUCCUGGCUGAAUUCAAGCUUCCUUGGUGAGGUGGAGAAUAAGAACAGACACCUUCUAAGGACUGAGUAUCUGUGCCCCUCCCAAAUUCAUGUGUUGAAGCCUCAAUACCAAUGUGAUGGAUUUCAGAGAUGGGGACUUUCGGAAGCAAUUAGGUCGUGAGGGUGGAGCCUUCAUAAUGGCAUUACAGCCCUUUUAUAAGAGACACAAAAGAGCUUGCUGGCUCGCUCUCUCUCUCUCUCUCUGCCGUGUGAGGAUCCAAGGAGAUGGCCAUCUGCAAACCAGGAAGAGGGCUCUCUCGGGAACCUGACCAUGCCGCACCAUCAGCUUGGACUUCCAGCCUCCAGAAUUGUGAGAGAGAAAUUUCUGUGGUUUAAGCCACCCUAUCUAUGGUAUUUGUUAUGGCAGCCUGAGCAGACUAAGGCAAGCCGUAAAGAGGAAAAUAUAAUAAAUUCUCCUGAAUUCUGUAUAACAUUAGCCAUUAAUCUACAUCAAUAUAUGGUGACGAUAUAUAAGUGGAAUGUACAAUGCAUAAAAUAUGCAUAUAUUAAGGUAAAGUAGGUAAUAAUGUUUAUCUUAAAUUACACAGACCCAUUUAGACUCUUUUGGUUUUAUAAUUUGGCUUGUUUUGUUACUAUCUCGAUGAAUUGCUUAUUCAUUUCAAAUUUUAUAACAUGUAUUUCUCCUUUGAGGAAAUGUAGACGAUUGAUAUUGGGAUAGAGCUUAAAUUGUGAGAAAUUACUCAACUGUGGUAAAGGGAAUACAUCAGAAGUAACACUUGGCUCACUAAAUUUUAUUUGAAUUAGGUGUCAAGUAAGCUAAGACGUGCAGGAGACAGCUGAUGGGGUAUGAAUUAAAUUUUAGGUUCUGCUCAUCAUUUGUUAGAAAUGGAAAUCAGUUUUCAAUAGUAUUCUCAUGUAUAAUUAAAACACAGAGCUAUGUAAUGUUUGGUA